GAUGAACGCUAGCGGCAGGCUUAAUACAUGCAAGUCGUGGGGCAGCGCAGGUAGCAAUACUGGGCGGCGACCGGCAAACGGGUGCGGAACACGUACACAACCUUCCGAGAAGUGGGGAAUAGCCCAGAGAAAUUUGGAUUAAUACCCCGUAACAUAACGAUGUGGCAUCACAUUGUUAUUAUAGCUUCGGCGCUUCUUGAUGGGUGUGCGGCUGAUUAGAUAGUUGGCGGGGUAACGGCCCACCAAGUCUACGAUCAGUAGCUGAUGUGAGAGCAUGAU
rnacentral:rRNA from 1 species